UACGAAGGGGGCUAGCGUUGUUCGGAUUUACUGGGCGUAAAGCGCACGUAGGCGGAUCGUUAAGUCGGGGGUGAAAUCCUGGAGCUCAACUCCAGAACUGCCUUCGAUACUGGCGAUCUUGAGUCCGGAAGAGGUGAGUGGAACUCCUAGUGUAGAGGUGGAAUUCGUAGAUAUUGGGAAGAACACCUGAGGCGAAGGCGGGUUGCUGGGCCGACACUGACGCUGAGGCGCGAAAGCCAGGGGAGCGAACGGG
rnacentral:rRNA from 1 species